rnacentral:rRNA from 2 species
GGAUAGGUAGGAGCCUGAGAAGCCGGAGCGCUAGCUUCGGUGGAGGCGUCGGUGGGAUACUACCCUGGCUGUAUUGAAAUUCUAACCCGCGGCCCUUAUCGGGCCGGGAGACAGUGUCAGGUGGGCAGUUUGACUGGGGCGGUCGCCUCCUAAAAUGUAACGGAGGCGCCCAAAGGUUCCCUCAGAAUGGUUGGAAAUCAUUCGUAGAGUGUAAAGGCACAAGGGAGCUUGACUGCGAGACCUACAAGUCGAGCAGGGACGAAAGUCGGGCUUAGUGAUCCGGUGGUUCCGCAUGGAAGGGCCAUCGCUCAACGGAUAAAAGCUACCCCGGGGAUAACAGGCUUAUCUCCCCCAAGAGUCCACAUCGACGGGGAGGUUUGGCACCUCGAUGUCGGCUCAUCGCAUCCUGGGGCUGUAGUCGGUCCCAAGGGUUGGGCUGUUCGCCCAUUAAAGCGGUACGCGAGCUGGGUUCAGAACGUCGUGAGACAGUUCGGUCCCUAUCCGUCGUGGGCGUAGGAAAUUUGAGAGGAGCUGUCCUUAGUACGAGAGGACCGGGAUGGACACACCGCUGGUGUACCAGUUGUCUUGCCAAAGGCAUCGCUGGGUAGCUAUGUGUGGAAGGGAUAAGUGCUGAAAGCAUCUAAGCAUGAAGCCCCCCUCAAGAUGAGAUUUCCCAUAGCGCAAGCUAGUAAGAUCCCUGAAAGAUGAUCAGGUUGAUAGGUCAGAGGUGGAAGCGUGGCGACAUGUGUAGCUGACUGAUACUAAUCGAUCGAGGACUUAACCAAA